UUAAGAAUCUUGCACAAUGGGCGAAAGCCUGAUGCAGCGACGCCGCGUGGACGAUGAAGGCCUUCGGGUUGUAAAGUCCAGUAAGCAGGGAAGAAUAAGCAACGGGUAAUAUUCGUUGUGAUGACGGUACCUGCCUAAAGCCCCGGCUAACUACGUGCCAGCAGCCGCGGUAAUACGUAUGGGGCAAGCGUUGUUCGGAAUUAUUGGGCGUAAAGGGCGUCUAGGCGGGGAAUUAAGUUAGGUGUGAAAUCCAUGGGCUCAACCCGUGAACUGCACCUAAAACUGGUUCUCUUGAGUUCGGGAGAGGAGAGCGGAAUUCCAGGUGUAGCGGUGAAAUGCGUAGAUAUCUGGAAGAACACCAGUGGCGAAGGCGGCUCUCUGGCCUAGAACUGACGCUGAAGCGCGAAAGCGUGGGGAGCGAACAGG
rnacentral:rRNA from 1 species